rnacentral:rRNA from 1 species
UACGUAGGGGGCUAGCGUUGUCCGGAAUCAUUGGGCGUAAAGCGCGUGUAGGCGGUCCGGUAAGUCCGCUGUGAAAGUCGAGGGCUCAACCCUCGAAUGCCGGUGGAUACUGUCGGGCUUGAGUACGGGAGAGGCGAGUGGAAUUCCUGGUGUAGCGGUGAAAUGCGCAGAUAUCAGGAGGAACACCGAUUGCGAAGGCAGCUCGCUGGAACGUUACUGACGCUGAGACGCGAAGGCGUGGGGAGCAAAAAGG